CCUACGGGAGGCAGCAGUGGGGAAUAUUGCACAAUGGGGGAAACCCUGAUGCAGCGACGCCGCGUGAGUGAAGAAGUAAUUCGGUAUGUAAAGCUCUAUCAGCAGGGAAGAAAAUGACGGUACCUGAGUAAGAAGCCCCGGCUAACUACGUGCCAGCAGCCGCGGUAAUACGUAGGGGGCAAGCGUUAUCCGGAUUUACUGGGUGUAAAGGGAGCGUAGACGGCAGUGCAAGUCUGUAGUGAAAGGCGGGGGCUCAACCCUCGGACUGCUCUGGAAACUGUACGGCUGGAGUGCAGGAGAGGUAAGCGGAAUUCCUAGUGUAGCGGUGAAAUGCGUAGAUAUUAGGAGGAACACCAGUGGCGAAGGCGGCUUACUGGACUGUAACUGACGUUGAGGCUCGAAAGCGUGGGGAGCAAACAGGAUUAGAUACCCCUGUAGUC
rnacentral:rRNA from 1 species